rnacentral:lncRNA from 1 species
ACAUGUUGUUUAUUAGUCAUGCCUUUACGAGAUAAGCCUGCAUCGGUUUACACAAGUCUUCCGACGGGAAUUUUAACGGAGUUGAAGAAUCAUGCAGACAUGACUAAACUUGAAAGUUUCAAUUACUGUAUUACCUUUUUUGAAUUUAUGACAUUAGACUUAUGUCGCUAUCAUGUGAAAUAAAGAUGAUAAAAUACA